CAUUCCCCAGCGGUGAUGCCUUUGAAGGCAGUGAUUCCUGCACACUGGAAGAGGAAGCAUCAGAGCACUAGCCACAGGCUACUGAGUGCCCCAUCUUCCUUUCAGGCUCGUGGGAUGGCUCCGUGUCACCUCCAGGAGGAGCUUUAAUGCUGUGUUCUUAGCAAUGGUCAGCCCUAACCCUAUCCCUGCGGAAAAUUAGAUGAAAGACUCGUGAGAGUAUUGCCUUCAGAAAACAUCCAACUGCCACUCCAGAAUGGGAUAAGUAAGGCUCCACCUUAGUGACACCGGCUGAGAACAGUCCAUCAGAAGAUGCUAUGUUCAAGAGCUACAAUACCAUUGUCUGUCUUCUCCUCUGGGAAGUGCUCUUGGGACAGUGUUGCAUCAUCUCUGGAAUGUUCAAGAUUGUUCCAGAAAUCUAUUCACAACAUCACAAGAAAGUAAGGAAGUCACAUGGAGAUAAUUGGAGAAGCUCUCACCAGCAGGGCCAGCUGUGGACACCUGAUUUCAACCUUCACAUGAGGAAUGAAUGUCCAUGAAGACAUGCCCAGCCUUACUCCAAACCAUGGCACAGAAUCUAUAGGACAACUACUGCAGAACUGUGAAAAUACCCAAACAACUCUUCUUUUGUUCCAGUACAUCUCAGGCAAAUGGACAAUGCUAGAAGAAACCAUCCUGAGUGAGUCACAAAAAGACAAACAUGUUUCUGUAACUGGAUUACUAGUGCUGUUGAAGUGCUGUGGAAACUAAACAAGGAGUAUUUAUAAUUAUAUGGAAAAUAAAAACUAAUGACUUCAAAUUACAAGUUGACGCAAAGACAAAUGAAUAUCCCCAUGGUGUAAUCACCUAGUUGAAAAAUCAGGUGACUUCUGUCUUCACAUUCCCUUUCAGCACAUUUUCUGCAUUUACUUGGUCUUUUUCUGCUGUCCCACACUGGGCUGUUGGAGGCACCCUUGAUGAUUUCAGAGGCUGUCUUCUCUAAACAUUCUGGUCCUGAGAUAAGGCAUAGAAUCAACAAUGUGUCACAUCUGUGUGGGAGCUGGCUCAACGAGAGGCUGAGCCACACAGGGAGCAUUUCCUGAUUGGGCUGGUGGAAGGAGCCCGUGUACCUGAGAGAGAGCACAGAGCUGCAUGUGUUGGGCAUUGUCAACAGAGUGCUUAUCUUCCAUUCUUUCAAAAAAGUACAGAGCCCAGUGAUGCAGAGGAGCUACAGUGUAUUCAGACCCUGAAUAUCACAAAAAGAUGGAAGUCAUCCCACUGUGACUGCAUGGCAUAGCAGGUGGACACUUUACGCUGCUACGUUUGGAGAGAUUUGUUAUUUAGAAGUAGCAACUGUGACUCCCAAUUUGGGGCAUUAGAAAUCAUAACUGAAUAAGGUGUGUUCUUAUGAACCAGGAAAAGAGGCCAGACAAAGCUGUGAAAGAACAUGGUGCCCGGAAGGCCCCAGGUAUUUUCCAUUAUACCGACAUGCUAUACAAAACUACCCAUGAAUGAAGUGACGAUCACACCCGUGACUUUGGAUGCCUGUAUAAAUCAAUUCUGUCAGAGAAAGCUUGAACUUGAACAACUGAAUCCACAGGAAGAACUAGUAAACUUGAGAUUCCCCUCUUGAGUUCCUGUCUUCGCUUUCCUCAGUGAUGGAGGUAAUCAAUAGACAGCUAAUCUCUUCCCUCCUCCACGUUGCAUUUGGUCAGAGUUUAAUCACAGCGACAUAGGAGCAGAGUGGGACAUCUAGGACACAAAGUGCUCUGUCUUAGAUGCCCAGAAUUCUCCACCAGAUGCCCUACAUCAUGGAUGACAAAAGGAUCAUGAAAAAUGGAAGUUCUUUUGCGGCCUAAGUGAAGAAAUGCUACCAAGAACUCUGAUUCUAAUUGUCAUUGUUUACAACUUAACUUUUAACCUAUGAAUCAUGUUUCUACCCACAAGAAUGUACAAACAUGUUAGAUAUGAAGCAAGCUUUUGUGGAAUAUUCUUAUAAAUACUCAUACUCAUGCAUGGGGGAAUACGUAGAACUAAUAUUAUAAAUCAUUAAGUCUGUGUGCGUGACUAUUGCAGUGUGCUCAUGUGAUGGCCCAUACUUUUUUUAAAUAAUGUAGUUAUAGUAUAAAUUGAAAUAAAAAUAAAAAUACUUUUGAAAGAACAGUA